CCUACGGGAGGCAGCAGUGGGGAAUCUUGCGCAAUGCGCGAAAGCGUGACGCAGCAACACCGCGUGGGGGAAGAAGGCCUUCGGGUUGUAAACCCCUUUCAGGAGGGACGCGGUACCUCCACAAGAAGCCCCGGCUAACUACGUGCCAGCAGCCGCGGUAAUACGUAGGGGGCAAGCGUUGUCCGGAAUCAUUGGGCGUAAAGCGAGCGUAGGCGGCCCGAUAAGUCUGCUGUAAAAGUCAACGGCUCAACCGUUGAAAGCCGGUGGAUACUGUCGGGCUAGAGUUCGGAAGAGGCAAGUGGAAUUCCUGGUGUAGCGGUGGAAUGCGCAGAUAUCAGGAGGAACACCUAUAGCGAAGGCAGCUUGCUGGCGAUACUGACGCUAAGGCUCGAAAGCGUGGGGAGCGAACAGGAUUAGAUACCCUUGUAGUC
rnacentral:rRNA from 1 species